GGGAUCGUAGCUCAAUUGGUUAGAGCGCCGCCCUGUCACGGCGGAGGUUGCGAGUUCGAGUCUCGUCGGUCCCGCCA
rnacentral:tRNA from 3 species